rnacentral:rRNA from 1 species
AUUGAACACUGGCGGCAGGCCUAACACAUGCCAGUCGAACGGUAACAGGAAGAAGCUUGCUUCUUUGCUGACGAGUGGCGGACGGGUGAGUAAUGUCUGGGAAACUGCCUGAUGGAGGGGGAUAACUACUGGAAACGGUAGCUAAUACCGCAUAAUGUCGCAAGACCAAAGAGGGGGACCUUCGGGCCUCUUGCCAUCGGAUGUGCCCAGAUGGGAUUAGCUAGUAGGUGGGGUAAUGGCUCACCUAGGCGACGAUCCCUAGCUGGUCUGAGAGGAUGACCAGCCACACUGGAACUGAGACACGGUCCAGACUCCUACGGGAGGCAGCAGUGGGGAAUAUUGCACAAUGGGCGCAAGCCUGAUGCAGCUAUGCCGCGUGUAUGAAGAAGGCCUUCGGGUUGUAAAGUACUUUCAGCGGGGAGGAAGGGAGUAAAGUUAAUACCUUUGCUCAUUGACGUUACCCGCAGAAGAAGCACCGGCUAACUCCGUG